UACCCUUGAAAAAAAAUGGUCAAAUGGUCCAUCUUGUAGUAGUUCCAGAUAAUGGAAAAGCUGACAAGAAUUGAAAUACAUGCUGAAUACUUACUGUUUCCAGCAGUUGUAUUAUGACUCCAUGUUCCCAUUGCGUUUCCUUCACUUACACUUCUGCUAUGAUCUUGGAUAUUUUAGAGCUUAAGGAGGCCUCAGAGAUGACCUAACCCAGCUUCUUCAUUUGACACCUGAAGGAAACGACGAGGAAGUGACUUCAGAAUUCAUUGGUUUUACCAUUAACUCUAAUUGUGCUCCAG